ACGGAAGGCAGCAGUGGGGAAUAUUGGGCAAUGGGGGAAACCCUGACCCAGCAACGCCGCGUGAAGGAAGAGGGCCUUCGGGUUGUAAACUUCUUUUACCAGGGACGAUAAUGACGGUACCUGGAGAAAAAGCAACGGCUAACUACGUGCCAGCAGCCGCGGUAAUACGUAGGUUGCAAGCGUUGUCCGGAUUUACUGGGUGCAAAGGGCGUGUAGGCGGAGCUGCAAGUCAGAUGUGAAAUCCCGGGGCUCAACCCCGGAACUGCAUUUGAAACUGUAGCCCUUGAGUAUCGGAGAGGCAAGCGGAAUUCCUAGUGUAGCGGUGAAAUGCGUAGAUAUUAGGAGGAACACCAGUGGCGAAGGCGGCUUGCUGGACGACAACUGACGCUGAGGCGCGAAAGCGUGGGGAGCAAACAGGAUUAGAUACCCUGGUA
rnacentral:rRNA from 1 species